UUUGUACUCCCUCCGUUCCGAAUUACUUGUCUUGGAUUUGUCUAGAUACGGAUGUAUCUAGACUCAUUUUAGUGCUAGAUACCUCCGUAUCUAGACAAAUCUAAGACAAGUAAUUUGGAACGGAGGGAGUACGAA
rnacentral:pre_miRNA from 1 species